UUGGGGCAGCCAUGGGACAAGGUCAGGGAAGGUGGUGGAUAAUUUUGAAAAGAGGGACAAAUCAAUUCAAAGUACCUAUAUCAGUGUGUGUUCCUGCCAGUGGUGCAUGAAGGUUCCAGGUGUGCUGGCCUGCCGUGAUGCUUCCAGGUGUGAGGGUUCCAGGUGUGCAGGCCUGCCAUGAGGGUUCCAGGUGUGAGGGUUCCAGGUGUGCAGGCCUGCCAUGAGGGUUCCAGGUGUACAGGCCUGCUGUUCCUUCUUGGUAUUCUUGGUUCUAUCUUGGUAUCACUUGUUUCAUUAACUUAAACUACUGGAUAUAUAAUGGAAUUACAUUGUAUUUGUGUAUUUUUUGUUACUGUUUUCUUUUUCUUUUUGAGAGUAUUUCCUGUAACCCAGGCUGGUCUCAACUCAACCUGGCUGUGUAGCCAAGGAUAGCCUUGAGUGUCAGGUCCUCCGGGCUUCACCGCCUAAAUGUUAUCUAUGAUUGCAGACAUAUGACACCUUGAGGUUUAUGCUGACGAUGAGACCCCGAGGGCUUUGUGCAUGUUAGGCAGGUAGCCUGCCAACUGAGCCACAUUCCCAGCCCCUAAGCCAGAGUUUUACUUAUUUGAUUAUUAGUUCCUAGAGCUAAGGACUCACUUUGGUUGUAGUGGUUCCUCAGUCAAUACUGUCUUUUGUUUUAUGUUGGUGCUGGGGGUUGAAUGUAGGGCUUUGUUAAUGCUGGGCAAGCCCUGUUAGCUACAUCACUGAACUACAUCCACAGCCCUGGGUUUGUUUGUUUUUUACUUUUGUUUUUGAGACCAGAUCUGUUGUAUAGCCAUGGCUGGUGUGGAAUUCAGUAUGUAGAUUCAGCUAGUCUCAGACUUAUGGCAAUCCUCCUGCCUCUGCCUCCUAAGUGUUAACAUUGUAAAUAUACAACAUGGUCUUAGGGUUUCUAUUGCUGUGAAGAGACACCAUGACCACCGCAACUCUUAUGAAAGAAAACAUUUAAUUGGGGUGGCUCGCUAUGGUUUCAUAGGUUCAGUCCAUUAUCAGGACAGGAAGCAUGGUGGCCUGCUGGCAGACAUGGUGCUGGCUACAUCUUGAUCAGAAGGCAACAUAAAGUCAACUGUGACUCUGUGAGUAGCUUGAGCACACGAGAACUCAAAGCCACCUCCACAGUGACACACUUCCUCCAACAAGGCCACUCCCUUUGGGGGCCAUUGUUUUCAAACUACAACCACCAUUCUUUCUCUUUUUUAUUUCAUAUUCUGUAUAUAAAUCCUUUGUUUUACGUACAUAUAAUGCGCACACGAGAGAGAGAGAGAGAGAGAGAGAGAGAGAGAGAGAGAGAGAGAGAGAGAGAAAGAGAGGUAUAUUUUCUAAAUUUCCCGUUUUCUCUUUUUUUCCCCUGGAACCGAGGACCAAAGCCAUGGCCUUGCAUUUGUCAUUACACUCUCUUAAUACCAUUAAUUCUAAUAAGAAAAAUCUUUGUUCUUUCCUCGAACCCUCUCCCAGUCGGGGCAGGUUACAGACACUUGGUGCUCUUCCUAGCGCCCAUGUGGUGGCACAGCAGCUGGCACCUCCAGCCCCAGGGCCUCUCUGCCUGCUGCUGGCUUCCGAGGGCUCCUUCGUGCACAUGGCGUCCAUAUAUCCACACAGACUCACAGAUAAAUAACAAAAUAGAUAAGAAGUCUUGCCUUUAAUUCCAGCUCUCAGAAGGCAGAGGCAGUUGGAUCUCUAUGAAUUUGAGGCUAGCCUGGUCUAAACAGUAGUUCCAGACCAGGAAGGCCACAUAGUGAAACCCUGUUUCAAAGUUAAAUAAGAAAACUCUGGUGAGGCUUAUGAGACAACUCACUGGGUAAGCGCUCAUGCCACCCAGCCAGCCAGCCUGAGUUCCACCCCCAGGACCCGUGUGGUGUACAAACAACCAGCUCCUGAAAACUGUCCCCUUAGCCACAUAAGCAUGUUCCCUCUGCAGUAAAAGUACAUGUUUUUAAAAAUCUGAAAUUUUUAAAAUUUAAAAAAUUUGCUGUGAAAUUGGAAACUUUAUACAAUAAUUCGAAAAUCUGAAAACCUCAAAAUCGGAAGUAAUUUUGGUUCCAAGUAUUUUUUAUUUUAAUUUUCCUUUUAUUUAUUUAUUAAAUUUUAUGUGUGGGCCUGGUUUGUGUCUGUACCAUUGUGUGUACCUUGUGCCCAAGGAGUCCAGAAGAGGGCUUCAGAUCCUCUGGACCUGGAGUCACACAGACAGUUGUAAACUGCCAUGUGGGUGCUGGGAAUUUUUUAUUAUGUGUGCGGAUGUUGUGCCUGCACAUGUAUUUGUGUGCCUUAUACCCAAAGAGCCCAGAAGAGGGUGUUAGAUCCCUUGGGACUGGAGCUGCCGAUACUUGUGACCCACUUUGUGGCGCUGGGACUGGAACUCGGGUCCUCCGAAAGAGCACAGCGCUCUCAACUGCUAAGCCGUCUCUUCAACUCCUGGUCCCCAGUGUUUUAGAUAAGUGACAGCCCAGCCAAGCGCCAAUAAGCAGAAUGUCAGACGUUGUUUUGUUUUGUUUGCCAUCGUUAAUGGCCUUGUGUGUGAAGAGUCUUUGUCUAUUAAACAGCAUGAAACCAUUCUCCUGUUUUCUCCCAUAAGCUUUGUUGUUUUAACUUGUGCAGUUUACUGGGUUUUGUUUGUUCUGUUGUUUUGAGAUAGUCUCACUACACGUCUCUGGUUGGCCUUGAACUCACAGGCCAGCAUCUGCCUCCAAGUGCUGGGCUCAAAGGCCUGAGCCUCCAUCCCCGCCAGGAAGUGCGAGCCUUCCAGCUCUGUGCCUAAUGGUUUGCUCUGUCACAUCCUGU